AGUGAACGCUGGCGGUAGGCCUAACACAUGCAAGUCGAACGGCAGCACAGUAAGAGCUUGCUCUUACGGGUGGCGAGUGGCGGACGGGCGAGGAAUACAUCGGAACCUACUUUUUCGUGGGGGCUAACGUAGGGAAACUUACGCUAAUACCGCAUACGACCUACGGGUGAAAGCAGGGGAUCUUCGGACCUUGCGCGAUUGAAUGAGCCGAUGUCGGAUUAGCUAGUUGGCGGGGUAAAGGCCCACCAAGGCGACGAUCCGUAGCUGGUCUGAGAGGAUGAUCAGCGACACUGGAACUGAGACACGGUCCAGACUCCUACGGGAGGCAGCAGUGGGGAAUAUUGGACAAUGGGCGCAAGCCUGAUCCAGCCAUACCGCGUGGGUGAAGAAGGCCUUCGGGUUGUAGAGGCCUUUUGUUGGGAAAGAAAAGCAGCAGGUUAAUACCCCGCUGUUCUGACGGUACCCAAAGAAUAAGCACCGGCUAACUUCGUG
rnacentral:rRNA from 1 species